rnacentral:lncRNA from 1 species
CUUCAUUUUUUAUCCGCCUAUCAUCUAUCAAUGCUAGUCAACGAAUCUCUCCCAGUGUAUUUCCAGACCCUCCUAUUAUGCGAUUGCAGAGUAUGAAUCCUUUAGUUUAUUGCGUCACUCUCCUAUUUCCUUGAUGCAGGCUAUGAAUCAUCCAGUUGAUCAUUUGUUUUUUACACUACAUUUACAAAAUUCCAAGUUCUUUCAGAUGAAGUCUGUUUGUAAUUAUUAAAACCACAAAUAUAAAAGUUAUUCAGAGUGUUCAAUUUAUAUUUUUUUCUUUCAUCUAAAUAAUUUGUAAUGGAAUUAACAAUUGACAAUUUCUGCUCCUCGGGUAAUGAUAUUUUACCAUUUUACCAUUUUAAAAUGUCCUUUAAAUUCGGAUAUCAAUAAUUUUAAAUAUUUCAAGAACAUUAUUGUUGUCCAGCUGUAGCUAUAGCUAAUGUCAUGGUCUUUUCUCUUAUUGUUCCCAAAUAAACGGUCAAGUUGUUGUAUUCUAAACUGCCACCGCCACUGCCACUGUCACUGCCACCUG